AGAGUUUGAUCAUGGCUCAGAACGAACGCUGGCGGCAGGCUUAACACAUGCAAGUCGAACGCCCCGCAAGGGGAGUGGCGCACGGGUGAGUACAACAUGGGAACGUGCCUUAGAGUACGGAAUAACGUCGGGAAACUGACGCUAAUACCGUAUAUUCCCUCCGGGGGAAAGAUUUAUCGCUCUAAGAUCGGCCCAUGCCAGAUUAGGUAGUUGGUGAGGUAAUGGCUCACCAAGCCUACGAUCUGUAGCUGGUCUGAGAGGACGACCAGCCACACUGGAACUGAGACACGGUCCAGACUCCUACGGGAGGCAGCAGUGGGGAAUAUUGGACAAUGGGGGAAACCCUGAUCCAGCCAUGCCGCGUGAGUGAUGAAGGCCUUAGGGUUGUAAAGCUCUUUUGUCAGGGAAGAUGAUGACGGUACCUGAAGAAUAAGCACCGGCUAACUUCGUGCCAGCAGCCGCGGUAAUACGAAGGGUGCUAGCGUUGUUCGGAAUUACUGGGCGUAAAGCGCGCGUAGGCGGCGGCACAAGUCAGGGGUGAAAUCCUGGGGCUCAACCCCAGAAUCGCCUUUGAAACUAGGUCGCUGGAGUAUUGGAGGGGAGUGCGGAAUUGCUAAUGUAGCGGUGAAAUGCGUAGAUAUUAGCGGGAACACCGGUGGCGAAGGCGGCACUCUGGACAAUUACUGACGCUGAGGCGCGAAAGCGUGGGGAUCAAACAGGAUUAGAUACCCUGGUAGUCCACGCCGUAAACGAUGGAUGCUAGCUGUUGGGGGGUUCCCCCUCAGUAGCGUAGCUAACGCGUUAAGCAUCCCGCCUGGGGAGUACGGUCGCAAGAUUAAAACUCAAAGGAAUUGACGG
rnacentral:rRNA from 1 species